rnacentral:rRNA from 1 species
CAUGUCUGUUUGUAGUUAUAAAAAGUCCAAUCUGCCCACUGAUAAGUUUAUUAAAGGGCCGCAGUAUCUUAACUGUGCAAAGGUAGCAUAAUAAUUAGUUCUUUAAUUGAGAUCUUGUAUGAAUGAUUAGACAAAAGACUAACUGUCUCCAUAAUAAAAUUUGAAAUUAACUUUUAAGUAAAAAGGCUUAAAUAAUUUGAAGUGACGAUAAGACCCUAUAAAGCUUUAUAUUAUACAGAAAUUAAAAUAAAGUAAUAAUAAAAUUUUAAUAGUUGUAAGUAUUUUAUUGGGGUGAUAAAAGUAAAAUUUUUAAUAACUGCUUUUUUUAAAAACAAAUUUUUAUGGUUUAUAAGUUAAAUGAUCCUAUAAUUUAGAUUUAAAGGUUAAGUUACUUUAGGGAUAACAGCGUUAUUUUUUUUAAGAGUUCUUAUCGAAAAAAAAAGAUUGCGACCUCGAUGUUGAAUUAAAAUAUCUGUGUAAUUGCAGAAGUUACAUAAGAAGGUCUGUUCGACCUUUAAAUUUUUACAUGAUUUGAGUUCAGACCGGUUUAAACCAGGUCGGUUUCUAUCUUUAAAUACGAUUUUAAAUUAUUUUA